UACAGAGGGUGCAAGCGUUGUUCGGAAUUACUGGGCGUAAAGCGUGCGCAGGCGGUUAUGCAAGACAGAUGUGAAAUCCCCGGGCUCAACCUGGGAACUGCAUUUGUGACUGCAUGGCUAGAGUACGGUAGAGGGGGAUGGAAUUCCGCGUGUAGCAGUGAAAUGCGUAGAUAUGCGGAGGAACACCGAUGGCGAAGGCAAUCCCCUGGACCUGUACUAACGCUCAUGCACGAAAGCGUGGGGAGCAAACAGG
rnacentral:rRNA from 1 species